rnacentral:lncRNA from 1 species
CCUGGUAGCACCAAAAAUUAUUUCAUCCAUAAUAUCUGUAUGUCAUUCCGUAGAACUUGAUGAAACCUCUCAUUUCAUGGUAUUUUGGGGAGAAAUCAUGUUAAAAAAAUGAAAUAAUGAAGUUGUUUUUAAUUUAAGGACCCAAUUUUUACCUUUUUUCUGCACCCAGCCAGCUGUUGAAGAAAUAUAACUCCUAUCUGUCUGUCUGAAGAAUAAACACUACACUGCAGCAACAUCUAGACAGCCACAUGUUCACCACCCCUGCCUUAAUAAAUAAGACUCGUAUCGGUCAGCAGUAUGGGGCUAGUAUUACCAUAUUUUUAAAAUGCUGCUGAAUUUCUUUCUUUUAUUCGAAUAUCAAAGAAGCAGGAUCCCUGUCAUCUUCUUCCAUAUGGUAGUCCAAGCCAAGCACCCAAGGAAAGAAAACAAUAUUAAGAUUUCUUGAGACACUUUUACUCCACCCUAUCCACAGCUCUCCAUCAGGAGCGGUUCAAUCGCACAGUGACAGGUAUCAAAUGCCGAAUGUGGACAGGCAGUGACUGGGGGAGUCGGGGAGGACAAGUUCUCUCCCCGCCCGCCCCCCGAAAAAGCCCCGACCUUUGACAAUAAAGCCAAACCCGACUCACCAGCUUUUAGGCCCGGUCGCCCACCGGCGAAAAAUGAUGCAACCUGAGAGCAAGUAAAAGAAGCAUGACAGGAAGUUUAGGAAGAAGAAAAAAGAGGGAGGGGAGGGGAGCGAGCGAACAGAAUCCAAACACGCCCCCUUGCCGCAGCCGAUCACGUCGCUUCAUGCAGAGACUGCGAAGAAGGCGUCUUCCCAUUGGGCAGCAGAGUCGCCGAGCAACCAGCAUGGGCAGGGCGGCCUGGCAGGCUAAGAAAAUGGAGGCGUCGCCGGCUCUGCUGCGUUGGCUGGGCCGGAGAGAAGGGAAGGGUUGGUGUGUCCCACGACUUGUCUCGCCCGGUCGGCGCAGUUUUGCUCGUCGCCCGGGAUCGAAGCCAUGUUUGCGUGAGGUGGGCUGGAAGUGGACGUGGCAAGAGACCAGAAGAGGGCACUAUUUCUACUCAUGAUCAGGGUGAACCCUUCUUAUAAUUCAGCUCUUGGAUUCAUUCAGUUCCACUGAUGCUGCUUCUUGAGUGUAAAUGGUGCUUCAGCAAGCAUUACCUAUGNGUUUCUGAUAGGCUUCUGCUGAACUGGAGUUCAGGGCUACUGAAGGAUCCUAAGAGGGCUGCCAUUAUCCAGUACCCUAUCCUGAAAAUUGACCGCCCCCCCCCCCGCAUGGCAACAAGGAGAAGGUGAGGAAAAGAAGCAAGCAAAUAAAUGCAAUGGAGCUGAAUGGAGAACA